GUUGUUACAUAGCAUUCCCUUCAGUUUGAUCCUUUCUCCUCUUCUAUGUGCUCCUAUUUGUCAUUGCAAUCCCUUUGAUUAGAUUUGUGUUGUUUCUUCUUCUAAUUUUCUUAGAGUUGAAAUCAGAUGAUGAGAAAAUAACUGCAACAAUAUGAUGUAUUUGGGAGAAGUGAUGAACAAAUUUGGUCCGUGUUUCUGAUUGCACAGUGACAGAUAAAUCCAUUAUUUUACUCUCCUGAUCUCCCACUAAUUCCUAAUUUUUCAUGUCACAAUUACGUUUCCCUUUGUCUGUAAGGCUGUGUACAUCCUACCCUCCCUAGACCUCACUUGUGGGAUUACACUGGGCUGUUGUUGUUGUUUAAUUAUGUUUCCUUUUGUUUUUUGGGGCGGAGAUCUAUGCAGAUUUUUGAAAAGCAGUAGCUCAAUGAUUAGAUGCCUUAUGGGCAAUAUACGCUAUUCCGAUUUAAAGCAUGAAGAUUGAAUUUUUUCUAGUAUGAGAGCUAUUUGUAUUUUUUUAAAGCUUUUGUGGAAUUGUUAUUUUAUGUGUGUUUUGGUUAUUUCGCGAUUUCUGCCGUGAUGAAUUCAUGAAAAUUUCACAUGUCAGACUUCAGAGAGAAAUCUAUGAGAAGAGAUUCAUGUAUCCUGAGCAGAAUGCACUUUAUAUUCAACCUUUGGUGCCUUGUUUCCAAAUUAAUUAGUAUUGCCUAACUUAGUUUCAGUUCAAAACUUAUCUCUAAUGUUUGGUCGUGUGUAACUUGAUUGCUGUGACUGGAUGUGUUUUCUUUUGGUUAAACGCUGUGACUGUAUGUGUUAGAGGCUGUCAGUUUGUACUAAUGAUUAUGAUUAAGUGUUUUAUGAAAUUUCAGAUUGAACGUU